ACCUUACCCUGGUUCUUGACAUCCCGGGUUAUUUUUUAUGGAAACCUAGAAAGUGCUUUCAUUAGAGAGAACCCUGGUGACAGGUGCUGCAUGGCUGUCGUCAGCUCGUGUCGUGAGAUGUUGGGUUAAGUCCCGCAACGAGCGCAACCCUCGCCUUUAGUUGCCAGCAGUUCGGCUGGGCACUUAAAGGGACUGCCGGUGUCAAACCGGAGGAAGGUGGGGAUGACGUCAAGUCCUCAUGGCCUUUAUGGCUAGGGCUACACACGUACUACAAUGGCCGGUACAAAGGGCAGCGAACUAGCGAUAGUAAGCGAAUCCCGAAAAGCCGGUCUCAGUCCGGACAGGAGUCUGCAACUCGACUCCUUGAAGUUGGAAUCGCUAGUAAUCGUGGAUCAGCAUGCCACGGUGAG
rnacentral:rRNA from 1 species